UGUGUCCUUUCGUAAGACACUUUAUUUCACAUUGUAGUGUCUGUAUUUCAAGAAGCCGGCCUUGUCACAUUCUGUUUCACACUGAAUCUCCCUGGGAAGUAUGUGAAGUGGUGCGCGUGUCUGUGGAGUGCUCAGCCACUUGCACGUUAAUCUCACGUACAAGCUGUUCCAUUGAUCGGAUCAACUGUAACCCUCGUCUUCGUAAGC